UGAGAGCUUGCUCUCAAGAAGUUAGCGGCGGACGGGUGAGUAACACGUGGGUAACCUGCCCAUAAGACUGGGAUAACUCCGGGAAACCGGGGCUAAUACCGGAUAACAUUUUGAACUGCAUGGUUCGAAAUUGAAAGGCGGCUUCGGCUGUCACUUAUGGAUGGACCCGCGUCGCAUUAGCUAGUUGGUGAGGUAACGGCUCACCAAGGCAACGAUGCGUAGCCGACCUGAGAGGGUGAUCGGCCACACUGGGACUGAGACACGGCCCAGACUCCUACGGGAGGCAGCAGUAGGGAAUCUUCCGCAAUGGACGAAAGUCUGACGGAGCAACGCCGCGUGAGUGAUGAAGGCUUUCGGGUCGUAAACUCUGUUGUUAGGGAAGAACAAGUGCUAGUUGAAUAAGCUGGCACCUUGACGGUACCUAACCAGAAAGCCACGGCUAACUACGUGCCAGCAGCCGCGGUAAUACGUAGGUGGCAAGCGUUAUCCGGAAUUAUUGGGCGUAAAGCGCGCGCAGGUGGUUUCUUAAGUCUGAUGUGAAAGCCCCGGCUCACCGUGGAGGUCAUUGGAAACUGGGAGACUUGA
rnacentral:rRNA from 1 species